rnacentral:rRNA from 1 species
GACGAACGCUGGCGGCGUGCCUAACACAUGCAAGUCGAACGGACAGGCCCUGCUUUUGUGGGGUGCUCGAGUGGCGAACGGGUGAGUAACACGCGAGUAACAUGCCCUUGACUUUGUGAUAUCUUCAGGAAACUGGGGCUCAUAUCGGGUAGGAUCUAUUGCUCCAUGGUGGGGGUUGGAAAGAUUCGGCGGUUGGGGAUGGACUCGCGGGUUAUCAGCUGCUUGGGCGGGUAGUGGCUUACCAGGGCUUUGAAGGGUAGCCUGCCUGAGAGGUGUACCGGCGACAUUGGGACUGAGGGACGGACCAGACUCGUACCUGAGGCAGCAGUGGGGAACAUUGCGCAAUGGGGGGAAGUCUGAGGCAGCGGCCCCGCGUGCGUGAUGACGGCCUUUGGGUUGUAAACCGCUGUCGCCGGUGACGAAGCGUGAGUGACGGUAAUUAGUAAAGAAGCACCGGCUAACUACGUG